CCUACGGGGGGCUGCAGUGGGGAAUAUUGCACAAUGGGCGCAAGCCUGAUGCAGCCAUGCCGCGUGUGUGAAGAGGGCCUUCGGGUUGUAAAGCACUUUCAGCGGGGAGGAAGGCGGUGAGGUUAAUAACCUCAUCGAUUGACGUUACCCGCAGAAGAAGCACCGGCUAACUCCGUGCCAGCAGCCGCGGUAAUACGGAGGGUGCAAGCGUUAAUCGGAAUUACUGGGCGUAAAGCGCACGCAGGCGGUCUGUCAAGUCGGAUGUGAAAUCCCCGGGCUCAACCUGGGAACUGCAUUCGAAACUGGCAGGCUAGAGUCUUGUAGAGGGGGGUAGAAUUCCAGGUGUAGCGGUGAAAUGCGUAGAGAUCUGGAGGAAUACCGGUGGCGAAGGCGGCCCCCUGGACAAAGACUGACGCUCAGGUGCGAAAGCGUGGGGAGCAAACAGGAUUAGAUACCGAGUAGUC
rnacentral:rRNA from 1 species